AGUGAACGCUGGCGGUAGGCCUAACACAUGCAAGUCGAACGGCAGCACAGUAAGAGCUUGCUCUUACGGGUGGCGAGUGGCGGACGGGUGAGGAAUACAUCGGAAUCUACUUUUUCGUGGGGGAUAACGUAGGGAAACUUACGCUAAUACCGCAUACGACCUACGGGUGAAAGCAGGGGAUCUUCGGACCUUGCGCGAUUGAAUGAGCCGAUGUCGGAUUAGCUAGUUGGCGGGGUAAAGGCCCACCAAGGCGACGAUCCGUAGCUGGUCUGAGAGGAUGAACGACCACAUGGGAAAUGAGACAGGGGCCAGACCCCUAGGGGGGGCCAAAGGGGGGAAUUUUGGAAAAGGGGGGCAAGCCUAACCCAACCAAACGGGGGGGGUGAAAAAGGCUUUCGGGUUGUAAAGCCUUUUUGUUGGGAAAAAAAAGAAGAGGGUUAAAACCCCGCUGUUGUGAGGGUACCAAAAAAAAAAGCACCGGAUAACUUCGU
rnacentral:rRNA from 1 species